UUACUGCUUUUACCAGUCACCCAUUUCUAUGUUUAUGCUAAGAUUACUGUUCUACGGAGCCCUAUUAAUCUCAAACAGAUAAUGUGUUGGGGUUUAUAAUGUCAAGCGAUGUAGAUUAAAAAAAACAAGUUUUGAAGAUCUAGGUCAAGCGCUGGAGAUUGAAAUCCAGGGCAGUAGUUAUAAAGUCAAGCGCUGAAGAUCCUAAUUCUAGCGCUGUAGAUCCCAAAUUGAGAGCUGAAGAUGUACAGUGCAUUGCAGAUAUAAAGUCCAGCGCUGAAGAUGUAAACUCCAGUGCUGAAAAUAUAAGUUUCAGUGUUGUAGAUAUGAAGAUCUGCGCUGUAGAUGUAAAGUUUAGAGCUGAAGAUUUAAUGUCAAUGUACA
rnacentral:lncRNA from 1 species